AUAAAUAAUUCCUUUUAUCUCAAGAACAGAUUGUCGAAGGAUGGUAUUCACAAAGGGUGAUUGGGACGUCUGGAAGAAAUAUAUCUAUUGGCGAAUAUCUCGAAAACGCUUUGUCGGCGGAAAAUGUGUUUUAUCUGCACAAGAGUUGUGCAUAAUUUAUACUGGUUAAAAUAAGAUGUUUUACUAUUCUAAUUUCUAAUGGACGUUGUUGUUUUAAGAAAAUCGGUACUAAACUUCAUUAGGGACUUAAAUAGUUAUUAAUUAGAACUCGACAAUUCCCAUUUGUCAACGUCGUGCAAAGUAAACACAAUUCUUGGAGUAAUUCAAUAUUAAUUAGGCCCGUUCGGUUGACUAAUUCUAAGCAAGUGCUCUCUUUAUACGUUGGCACGUUUAAACUUGACGUUGAUAUGUUUUUUGUUGACUUUCCGCGCCUUUCCUUUCAAACAGAAAUAAUUUCCGUGGGUACCGAAACCAUUCAUUUCGGCCGUAACCUUCCCACAUGUUAAAAUAAUAAAAUCUUUCCUAUCGGAUUGCAAAACACUGGUUGGUGAUAAGUCUGUAAGUGUACGUUGAUCUUCGAUGGUGUCUCGGUUACGAAUAACAAUUGAUAACCGAAUUGUACGUUGAACUUCUCACAAUGUAUAAACGUGCCUAUACAAAGGAAUUGCAAGAAAAGGCCAAAAGAAAACUUAACGAAACACCGAAGCGCAAAGAAGACGAUGUGAACCACAUAGUCAAUUGGAUUUCAAAGCAACCGCAUUUCAAUGCCCGAACAGACGAACUGUGGGUCACAAACUUUUUGCGCGGUUGCAAAUUCAGCACGCAGAAGACGAAAGAGAAGUUGAAAUAUUUGUACAAGACGAGACCACAUGCUCCCGAGUAUUUCUCAAGGCGCGACCCCUUUCUACCGGAAACACAAGAAAUUCUCAACCAAAACGUAUUUCUCCCGUACGCCUCCGCAAACGAUGAGUUGAUCAUCGUGAAAUGGGGCAACGUAAAUCCUGACAAAGUAUCCAUAGUUGACGUAUUCAGGGUGGCGUUCAUGAUUUUGGACAUCUCCAUCGCAGACAGCGACACAAUUUUAAUCACGGGGAUCCACAUCGUAAUCGACCUGAAAGAUAUUCCAAUCGCUUGCAUGAAACAAAUGACGCCCGCGUUCCUAAAGAAGCUCGCUUACAUAAUCUGCAAGGGUUACGCGUUGAGACUCAACGGAAUAUACUUCAUCAACUGCUUCCCCUACUUCCAGACGGUGUUCGGCAUUUUCAAGCCGUUCCUCGACAAGAAAAUGCUAUCGAAGAUGAAGUUCUACAACGAAAACGAGGAGCGACAAAUUUUGAAUGACAUCCCGAAGGCGGCACUUCCGCGGGAGUACGGAGGCAGCGGCGAAAGCAUCGUCGAAAUCGGACAAAUCCCGAUAGACAUCGAGGCGCCAUGAAACAUUACUCAUCGGCGAUGAAGAACGAAGGCGGAUGUGACGUGAUCUCAGGACCGGCGGACGCCGUUUUAAAAGGGGCGACCGCAUUUCGUAACAUCGUCGUCCUAUCGUGAGACAUCCAUUACACAUUUACAAAAUGUACAACUCGGCAUGAAACGAAUACCUGAAAAUGGAUUAUUCUGAAUACGGUUGCGGAUAUGGAGCUUUCGUUAUAGCAAGCAAGUGCUUUUCGGGCAUUGCGCCGACGUACUCCAUUGGGGUUCCAACAGCGCGUUUCAUCGAGAUACAAAAAAGCAGGUGAGUGUUUCGCACCAAAUUGAUAGAAACAUAAUAGACCCUAAGAUGGAUCCUUGAGGAACUCCAUCGCCAAAUGUGUAAUUAAAUUUAAAUUACGACGUUCUAAAUUGCACUUAUUUCGAGACCUGAACUCACAUUCCAGAUACGGCACAUUUUUAUUAUUGGCGGAAUUGGUUUGAUCAAAACACAUGUCGUGACAAGUGUAAAACGGUGCACGUGUUUUCUACGUAUGUACGUGUUACACUGAUCAGUAAUCGGCAAGGUUUCGUUUACAGGUUGAUAUUGAUUGCUACUACCAAAGACUAUCCAAUAGUCUUUGCUACUACCUAACUAAUCAGCGCACAAAACUGCAAAGGAUUUCGGAUUUAAUUUAAUCAUCUUCAUCUUAAACAGUAGGACAAGAAAAUAUUAUUAUUAUUAUUAUUCUUGGGGGGUUAGCUAAACGAAACAUGUUUGAAAUGUAACACCCUGUACGUUUUUUUUCAUAUACAGGGUGUUGAGAAAUAGUAAAUCAACAUAUAUUCACUCGUUCGUUGGUGGCUCAUGUGGUAAGCAUUCGUUCUAACAUUGUACGCGGAUGAAAUUUAGCGUAUCGCUUAUCUUUUAUUGUGCGCCGGAGUGAUAUAAUUCAGCACAAAGUGGCGCCUAAAAGAGCGUAUUUAUUGCGUCAAUUACCGCCAUACACCGUGCGUCAUUUAAAGCCAACCAUUAACGACACGCGCUCUCCGUAUUAAGCCGACUUUCAACCUUCACGUAUCUAAGAAUAGUAAACAAAAACAUAAAUAAAAAAUCCUUUUGAUAUAACAUUUACAUAAUGUCGACUAUUUUUUUUUUCUAUAAAGAUACCGUUUUAGUAUCUAAUAAAAACACCGAGAUUACGCUCGGAAAAUAAAUACGUCGUCCCCGUAUCUUACGCGAUCGCGAUGUGACGUGGAUUUAAAUGAAAAUUGGACACUAUUUUUUGAUUUAGCAAAAAAAAAGUUCAACCGUUCAUGCCAUUGUAUCACAUCCGAAAAUAAUUGAGCCAGCCGUGGUGGAACUAACAAAAUUCGUAAUUUCGUCCAAGGACCAAGAAAGUGCAAGUGAAAGUGCAGAAACCAAAAGUGAAAAUUAAAAAAAAAACAGGCUAGUUCCCUGUACAUUCUGUGGUUAUAGUUUCGUCUUUGUUGUUCACCUUCAUUUCUUUACCUUAAAAUACAAAAAUGAUAGGAACAAGUCAUUUUUGGGAAUCACUCGGUAUGUACCUACCAACUUUCGGGACUGUACACCAUCUUUUCCUUGUUCUAUUUGUACUAUUUGUGUACUUUUCUUAAUUCAUAGCACGAGGUAUAAAUUCCGUUGAAGAUUAAGUGCGUUUUCGGAAACAACCUAAGGCCCUUUGUGUAAGAGAAUCGGUGUGUUUAAAUUAAUCACUUGAUUAAUUCUAUUUACACUUAUUUAACAAUAAGUGUAUAGUCUUGAAAUGAAUUGAUUUAUAACAGCGCGAAUUAUUUAUUACUUCGAUGUUGAAAUUGGAACUGCCCUGAAACCCAAUUUAAUUUGCUUAUAUAGCAAACGCCUCUCUUUCUGGAAAGUUGUCGAACCCUUCCGAGUAUUCUAGAAUGUUCUCGAACAAAACACGUCAUAUUUCCCGGAAAGAUUGCGUCACAUCUGUUCACAAUUUCAAAUUUUAGAAUUCUGCCAAUCUUAUUUCUUCAGAUUUUUGGGAUUUUUAGACUCUCAAUAUUCUUUAGUCCCUAAACUAAAAUCCUGGAUUACUAAUAAUAAUAAUAAUUUCUGGUGUGGCAACCCCAUCAAUCAGCUUUUGAUGAUACAAUCAGUUCUACAGGGCGGCGUGCGGUGUGCUGUUGUAAGAUCCCUGAUAGUUCAUUCCAGUACUCUCACGUAUGGCUUUCUUUAUUCGGUUAACACGUACAGGGCGUCCCAUGACGAAUGCCAGUGGUCAAUAUCUCGAAUACUUUGAGUAUUGUCAUUAAGAGGAAUUCAUCUAAAAUAUUUUAUACCGGAAGUUGUGGCCAUCGUGCUGGUUUUAAAUUGAACAUCCUAUACCUAUAUUACUUCAUUUGUAGAUUCUACUUAAAAUUUUACACGGGUAAUGUAUACUUAAAUUUAGCCAUUUUUGACAUUUUAAUUUUUAUGUCAAAAGUGACAUUUGCAUCCCAAAUGAUAAUUGUCAAUUUUUUCUAUACGAGAGAAUUUAUUUUUUAAUUAGGGCUGGCUUCCUUUUAGAAGAGAUUUCGCUGUAAUGGCUUUUAUUGAUAUUGUAUCGUAAAUUUAAUUUCUUAGGUGAUUUAUUUAUAUAAAAUUAACUAGUGAUGAAUUUAUAACACGGAUAGGGAUUUCACUACUUACGAUAACACGGAGACCAAAACUAGACCAAAAUUACCAAAAUAUAGCACACAGAAAGCUUCUAGAAAAAUCUCGAAUCAGCAUACAAUAUUUCAUGGAAAGAAUGAGUCACAUUCGCUUUCACUCAUUUAUCGACUUAUGGCGUCUUCAUAUCGUUCUAGAAAAUUCGCUACAAUAUUUUGAUUAUAAAUAUAUGUAGGGUGUGGCGGGGGUAGCAAGCAAAGGCGUUAAAUUCUGAGAGUAUGGUCGAAUCGUAGAUAGAAGAAAAAAACUGGGAAGUAAUAUGGAAGAACUAAUUUGCGAAGUGGGAUAAGCAAAAGGAGGCAUACUAACACAAUU